AAUUGCUAGUAAUCGCAGAUCAGCAUGCUGCGGUGAAUACGUUCCCGGGCCUUGUACACACCGCCCGUCACACCAUGGGAGUCGGUAACACCCGAAGCCUGUAGUCUAACCGCAAGGAGGACGCAGUCGAAGGUAGGAUUGAUGACUGGGGUGAAGUCGUAACAAGGUAGC
rnacentral:rRNA from 1 species